rnacentral:rRNA from 1 species
CGAGGCACUACGGUGCUGAAGCAACAAAUGCCCUGCUUCCAGGAAAAGCCUCUAAGCAUCAGGUAACAUCAAAUCGUACCCCAAACCGACACAGGUGGUCAGGUAGAGAAUACCAAGGCGCUUGAGAGAACUCGGGUGAAGGAACUAGGCAAAAUGGUGCCGUAACUUCGGGAGAAGGCACGCUGACAUGUAGGUGAAGUGAUUUACUCAUGGAGCUGAAGUCAGUCGAAGAUACCAGCUGGCUGCAACUGUUUAUUAAAAACACAGCACUGUGCAAACACGAAAGUGGACGUAUACGGUGUGACGCCUGCCCGGUGCCGGAAGGUUAAUUGAUGGGGUCAGCGCAAGCGAAGCUCCUGAUCGAAGCCCCGGUAAACGGCGGCCGUAACUAUAACGGUCCUAAGGUAGCGAAAUUCCUUGUCGGGUAAGUUCCGACCUGCACGAAUGGCGUAAUGAUGGCCAGGCUGUCUCCACCCGAGACUCAGUGAAAUUGAACUCGCUGUGAAGAUGCAGUGUACCCGCGGCAAGACGGAAAGACCCCGUGAACCUUUACUAUAGCUUGACACUGAACAUUGAGCCUUGAUGUGUAGGAUAGGUGGGAGGCUUUGAAGUGUGGACGCCAGUCUGCAUGGAGCCGACCUUGAAAUACCACCCUUUAAUGUUUGAUGUUCUAACGUGGACCCGUGAUCCGGGUUGCGGACAGUGUCUGGUGGGUAGUUUGACUGGGGCGGUCUCCUCCUAAAGAGUAACGGAGGAGCACGAAGGUUGGCUAAUCCUGGUCGGACAUCAGGAGGUUAGUGCAAUGGCAUAAGCCAGCUUGACUGCGAGCGUGACGGCGCGAGCAGGUGCGAAAGCAGGUCAUAGUGAUCCGGUGGUUCUGAAUGGAAGGGCCAUCGCUCAACGGAUAAAAGGUACUCCGGGGAUAACAGGCUGAUACCGCCCAAGAGUUCAUAUCGACGGCGGUGUUUGGCACCUCGAUGUCGGCUCAUCACAUCCUGGGGCUGAAGUAGGUCCCAAGGGUAUGGCUGUUCGCCAUUUAAAGUGGUACGCGAGCUGGGUUUAGAACGUCGUGAGACAGUUCGGUCCCUAUCUGCCGUGGGCGCUGGAGAACUGAGGGGGGCUGCUCCUAGUACGAGAGGACCGGAGUGGACGCAUCACUGGUGUUCGGGUUGUCAUGCCAAUGGCACUGCCCGGUAGCUAAAUGCGGAAGAGAUAAGUGCUGAAAGCAUCUAAGCACGAAACUUGCCCCGAGAUGAGUUCUCCCUGAGACUUUAGGUCUCCUGAAGGAACGUUGAAGACGACGACGUUGAUAGGCCGGGUGUGUAAGCGCAGCGAUGCGUUGAGCUAACCGGUACUAAUGAACCGUGAGGCUUAACCUUACAACGCCGAAG